CACCCAGGCACUCCACUUUGCUUCUACUUUUACUUCCGGUUCUCCAUUACUGUCCGUAACUGAUUCAUCACCCAUGGCGAGUGCUCAACCCAACGGACAGCCUUGCUUUAUCCUCUCUAUUACACGUGGUUAAAAGUACAGGCUCUAGAGUCAGAUGGUCUGGUUUCGAACUCUGGGUCUCUCACUUACUACCUGUGUAACCUUAGCAAGUUAUUUAACCUAUCCGAGCCUCCGUUUCCUCAUCUACAAAACGGAAGAAAUAACAGUGUUUGCUUCAUAGGACUUGGAACGAACUGCGAGUUUCCAGCUGAAGACACACUCAGAGAACAGAGAGCAUAUAAGAAAGCAUGCAGCAUCAAUCACAGAGCAAGACAGUGAAAUCAAUGCCAGUGCAUUUCAAAAAGCUUCAACUUCUACCCAUCCUCCAAAACCUGUUCCAGUCCCAUGUCCUUAACCGGUACUGAUCAGCUAAGGCACAAGGUAGCUGUAUCACUGCUGACCUCCCAGAACACCCAGCUUUUUUCCCUAUAAAUACUGUCUACAUUUAACACA